GUAGGGAAUAUUGGACAAUGGGGGCAACCCUGAUCCAGCGACGCCGCGUGAGUGAUGAAGGCCUUCGGGUCGUAAAGCUCUGUUGCAGGGGAAGAACACAAUGACGGUACCCUGCUAGAAAGGAUCGGCUAACUUCGUGCCAGCAGCCGCGGUAAGACGAGGGAUCCUAGCGUUGUUCGGAAUCAUUGGGCGUAAAGCGGGUGCAGGUGGCUUGGUAAGUCAGAUGUGAAAGCCUGGGGCUUAACCCCAGAAGUGCAUUUGAUACUGCUGAGCUUGAGUGCGGGAGAGGCUAUUAGAAUUCCUGGUGUAGUGGUGAAAUACGUAGAUAUCAGGAGGAAUACCGGAGGCGAAGGCGGAUAGCUGGCCAGACACUGACACUCAGACCCGAAAGCGUGGGGAUCAAACAGGAUUAGAAACCCGGGUAGUCC
rnacentral:rRNA from 1 species